GAUGAACGCUGGCGGCGUGCCUAACACAUGCAAGUCGAACGGACGAGAAGAGCUUGCUCUUCGAGUUAGUGGCGGACGGGUGAGUAACGCGUGAGCAAUCUGCCUUUCAGAGGGGGAUAACAUUGGGAAACCGGUGCUAAUACCGCAUGAUGUGCGAGGGUCGCAUGACUCUUGUACCAAAGGAGCAAUCCGCUGAAAGAUGAGCUCGCGUCUGAUUAGCUAGUUGGUGAGGUAACGGCCCACCAAGGCGACGAUCAGUAGCCGGACUGAGAGGUUGAACGGCCACAUUGGAACUGAGAUACGGUCCAG
rnacentral:rRNA from 1 species